CAGCCGUAAACUAUGCGCGUUAGGUGUAUCGGUGACCACGAGUUACCGAGGUGCCGAAGGGAAACCGUGAAACGUGCCGCCUGGGAAGUACGGUCGCAAGGCUGAAACUUAAAGGAAUUGGCGGGGGAGCACCACAACAGGUGGAGCCUGCGGUUUAAUUUGGACUCAACGCCGGGAAGCUCACCGGAUAGGACAGCAGAAUGAUUGCCGGGCUGAAGACCCUGCAUGACUAGCUGAGAGGAGGUGCAUGGCGUAGACGGUCU
rnacentral:rRNA from 1 species